rnacentral:rRNA from 1 species
AUACGGAGGGAGCAAGCGUUAUUCGGAAUCACUGGGCGUAAAGGACGCGUAGGCGGGUUUGUAAGUCAGGUGUGAAAUCCUACAGCGCAACUGUAGAACUGCACUUGAAACUACAGACCUAGAGUAUGGAAGGGGCAGAUGGAAUUAGUGGUGUAGGGGUAAAAUCCGUAGAUAUCACUAGGAAUACCGAAAGCGAAGGCGAUCUGCUGGGACAUUACUGACGCUGAGGCGUGAAAGCGUGGGGAGCAAACAGGAUUAGAUACCCCAGUAGUCC